UAAUGCCUACGGGGCGCAGCAGUGGGGAAUAUUGCACAAUGGGGGAAACCCUGAUGCAGCGACGCCGCGUGAAGGAAGAAGUAUUUCGGUAUGUAAACUUCUAUCAGCAGGGAAGAAAAUGACGGUACCUGACUAAGAAGCCCCGGCUAACUACGUGCCAGCAGCCGCGGUAAUACGUAGGGAGCAAGCGUUGUCCGGAUUUACUGGGUGUAAAGGGUGCGGAGGCGGUCUUGCAAGUCAGACGUGAAAA
rnacentral:rRNA from 1 species